rnacentral:rRNA from 1 species
GAUGAACGCUAGCGAUAGGCCUAACACAUGCAAGUCGAGGGGCAUCACGGAGUAGCAAUACUUUGGUGGCGACCGGCGCACGGGUGAGUAACGCGUAUGCAAUCUACCUACAACAGGGGGAUAACCCGGAGAAAUCCGGACUAAUACCGCACAACACAGUGGUCCCGCAUGGGAAUAUCUGUUAAAGAUUUAUCGGUUGUAGAUGAGCAUGCGUUCCGUUAGGUAGUUGGUGAGGUAACGGCCCACCAAGCCUGCGAUGGAUAGGGGAACUGAGAGGUUUGUCCCCCACACUGGAACUGGGACACGGACCAGACACCUACGGGAGGCAGCAGUGAGGAAGAUUGGUCAAUGGGCGAGAGCCUGAACCAGCCAAAUCGCGUGAAGGAAGACUGCCUUAUGGGUUGUAACCUUCUUUUGUACAGGAAUAAAAAGAGGGACGUGUCCUUCAUUGCAUGUACUGUACGAAUAAGCAUCGGCUAACUCCGUGCCCGCCGCCGCCGUAA